UUAUAGCUAAAAAAAUUUACAAAUGCAAUAAAAAUGCAUUGAUAAUGACUGGAUUCGCAAAAUAUAGAUCAUGAUUUGCAUAUCCCACUUCACCAAUAAUUACAUAUACCAUCUACAACCACUAUCUCCACCUGUUCCACCAGGUAGCCUCUUUUCCCCUACAAUGGGUACCCAAUAUUAUCAUAUUAUUGCCUUUGGUGGAAAAUGGGACCAUAACUGUUAUUAUUUAGUCAAGUACCUUUUUUCCUUUCUGGUUGGUAAUCGGUACCAGGCCCUGCAAGAUAUUGAAAGACAAAAAGAUCACUGUACACUCUUCAGUCCUCCACAUGUGCAGGCUUGAGUUUCGUCAUCUGUUUCCUGUAGCAUUCAUUUACGGUGGAGGAACUUUUGCUUUUUUAUAUAUGCUUUUCUUUAUAGUAUAUAAGAGGGGAAGUUGAUGGUUGAUUGGGAAGCAAGGAAAGCGAUGUUGGUGAGGUUCAAUCCGAUGACGGAUUUACGUGUGGAAGUGUCGUAAAAGACGAUCUCAGAUUGAGCCGCGCCAAUAUCACUUUCUGUAUGAGUUUUUUUCAUUUGCUUUCCCACUCAAAAACUCAGUUUCUCUUGAACACAUGUUUUAACUGAUAUCCAGUUUUUUACUUUUUUUGCAUGAUGUUGCAUGUUUUGUCUUUAUAAUUAGACCAAAAUAUUUAUGCUUCUAUUUUUAUCCCUUAUAUAUAUAUAUGCCACAAUUUUAUGUAUGUCAAUUGCAUUAAUAUAUGUAAUAUCUCUCUUCUUAAAGUAUUUGUUUUUGUCUAGAGUAUUCAGGUUUGAGGGUAUCCCACAAUAUAGUGAACGUGGUUGAUAUAACAUUGAGUUGAACUCUUCUUCUUCUUCUUUUAUUUUAUUUUUUUAAAAUUUUGCAAGGUAAAUAGGGGGAGGGUGCUGAACGCUGAUGAUGAGGUUCGAAACCUAGUGCCCAAAUUAACAUCACUAAAGGUGUCCUUGAGGUUAAAGAUAGAAGUUUGUUGCUCAUUGGGUAAGUUUUCAGAAUUUGGUCAAGCGAAAUUUAUGAUUAGUCAAGUAAAAAUAAUAAUUUUGGAUAGAAACUUUCGCUUGAGUGAAUCCUUUAAGGAAAGCACUAACUGGGUUUUCACUACUGUUUUUGUGGCCAAUCAUAUAUACUUCAUAACCCUCACCUAUAAGCAUGGAAAUUUAACCCUAAUAUUCAAAGAAGGAUGACAUCUGCACAAAACCUAAAAAACACAAUUUGAAGCCUUCUAGUUAUUCCUGCCUUUUAUAUUGCCUAUGCUUGAGAGGUUUUACACUACCAAAAGAUCACCUACUAUGUUGUUGGAAUGCUAUUUGAAACCACAAAGACUAUACACAUCUUAAAGAAGUCUUGAAGUAAUAAACAAAUUGGCUUGGCAGUCGGCGAAUUGAUUCUCAGCAUCAGGUGAUUGUAAAGGAUCAAAGCAAGAGUUUAUAGUUGCUAGUAGAAGUGGGGAGCUGGGGUACGCUGUCUAUCUACUUGUUCGAAAAGUCUAGUGAGUAUCUGUACCCACAACAACCUUCAUAGUGGAUUUGAUGAGCUAGGUUUUGCCCUGAAGUAUUUUUACCUAUUCGGUUUUUUCUCUGUGAACAAAUCUUAUCUCUAUAUGUAUGAGUUGUUCAUGUUUUUUUUUUUUUUUUUUGAUAAACUGUAUGAGUUGUUCAUGUGAUGUUAUUAUAAGCUUGACUAUUCAUGAUACAUUGCAUAUAUGGACUUAAUAACUGAACAAAUAAUUAAUGAGAAUUGAUACUCUCUCUA